UCCUUGUUUUUUCCUAUCUAUUACAGUUGCUACCCAUCACAGUGUGUUCACAUAAAACCUGAAGGCAUAGCUGGACGGCUUUUCUGCCGUAGAAACAAAACAUGCCCUCAUUGUGUUGAUGUCGUUACAUCAGGUGGCAUCAUUUAGUUGGAAUGAGACACUCCAUAAUCACUGCAGACAUGCCACAGCUUUAUUUCUUUCUUUAUCUUUUUUUUUUUCCUUUUUUCUUUUGAGUAACUGGAUUCUAGCAUUUUUCUUGUACCCAAACUUUUACAAGAUGUCCAACUUCUCCAGUCUCUCUAAUUUCUCGCAACAUCGGUAAAUGAC
rnacentral:lncRNA from 1 species